GGUGGCUCAAUGGUAGAGCGCUUGCCUUGCAUGCACGAGGCCCUGGGUUCGAUUCCUCAGCACCA
rnacentral:tRNA from 1 species